rnacentral:rRNA from 1 species
GAUGAACGCUGGCGGCGUGCCUAAUACAUGCAAGUCGAGCGAACGGACGAGAAGCUUGCUUCUCUGAUGUUAGCGGCGGGCGGGUGAGUAACACGUGGAUAACCUACCUAUAAGACUGGGAUAACUUCGGGAAACCGGAGCUAAUACCGGAUGAUAUUUUGAACCGCAUGGUUCAAAAGUGAAAGACGGUCUUGCUGUCACUUAUAGAUGGAUCCGCGCUGCAUUAGCUAGUUGGUAAGGUAACGGCUUACCAAGGCAACGAUGCAUAGCCGACCUGAGAGGGUGAUAGGCCACCCUGGAACUGAGACAAGGUCCAGACUCCUACGGGAGGCAGCAGUAGGGAAUCUUCAGCAAUGGGCGCAAGCCUGACGGAGCAACGCCGCGUGAGUGAUGAAGGUCUUCGGAUCGUAAAACUCUGUUAUUAGGGAAGAACAUAUGUGUAAGUAACUGUGCACAUCUUGCCGGUACCUAAUCAGAAAGCCACGGCUAACUACGUG